CGGGUGAGUAAAGCAUCGGAACGUACCCUAGAGUGGGGGAUAACUAUCCGAAAGGAUAGCUAAUACCGCAUAUUCUAUGAGUAGGAAAGCGGGGGAUCUUCGGACCUCGCGCUCUAGGAGCGGCCGAUGUCAGAUUAGGUAGUUGGUGGGGUAAAGGCCUACCAAGCCGACGAUCUGUAGCGGGUCUGAGAGGAUGAUCCGCCACACUGGGACCGAGACACGGCCCAGACUCCUACGGGAGGCAGCAGUGGGGAAUUUUGGACAAUGGGGGCAACCCUGAUCCAGCCAUGCCGCGUGAGUGAAGAAGGCCUUCGGGUUGUAAAGCUCUUUCGGCCGGGAAGAAAUCGUGUGGGCUAAUACCCUGCAUGGAUGACGGUACCGGAAUAAGAAGCACCGGCUAACUACGUGCCAGCAGCCGCGGUAAUACGUAGGGUGCGAGCGUUAAUCGGAAUUACUGGGCGUAAAGCGUGCGCAGGCGGUUUUUUAAGACAGGCGUGAAAUCCCCGGGCUUAACCUGGGAACUGCGCUUGUGACUGGAAGGCUAGAGUACGGCAGAGGGGGGUGGAAUUCCACGUGUAGCAGUGAAAUGCGUAGAGAUGUGGAGGAACACCGAUGGCGAAGGCAGCCCCCUGGGCCGAUACUGACGCUCAUGCACGAAAGCGUGGGGAGCAAACAGGAUUAGAUACCCUGGUAGUCCACGCCCUAAACGAUGUCAACUAGUUGUUGGG
rnacentral:rRNA from 1 species